GGAGAUAAAGAUUUUACAACGUGUGGAGAGCCGAAACGUUUCAGCACCCGGACAGCGCCGUGAGGGUUUUGAAAAGCAUUUGAAAAGGUUUUCAUCUCAGCAUAUCCACAGGUCUAAGUGCAGCACAUCUGUCUCCAGCAAGGAAAUCACAUCACGUGGCUUUAACAGAAUUUAAACUGCAUCGACAAAAUCUUGUGUCAAAGCAGUCAUUUUAAGGGUCCAAGAUGCAGCAGCUGGAGGGAGAGCCGGCUGGAAGGAAGCGAGAUCCAGGAUCUUAGAAAUCUAACGCUUUAGGAGUACUCCCACGUACUCCGAAGAGAACCACGGGGGGGCGAGUCCGUCCUUUGUUACGCCCCUCCCUUCAGGAAGAGCCAGGACAGAGAGUGGGAGCGCAGCUGAAACCCUUUUCUGUCCC